UUAAUGUUUAUUCAUUUCGUUCGUGUAUAUUUUAGAAAUUAAGAAAUGAAAACUGUAACUGUACUAAGUUCAAUUUUCGUAUCGUUUAUAUGCCUUACGGAAAACCGACCUUUUCCGGAAUCGACUUUUGUUUUAUCACCGGAAAUGAUUUUGAAAUUUGAAUUUCGAAACGAUAUCAACAAAGAGAGCCAAGAAAAUUGUUUGUUACGCGAUAUAUACUCACUUGGAGCUAAAAGAAAAGCCACAAAGGACAAGUUCAAUAUGCAGGUUUACAAUUUGGAAGUGGCGCAGGUUCUUUGGAAUGUCUACAACCUUUCAGGAGAAUUUUUUUUUGAAGUAAGAUUUUCAUACAGAAUUACUGUUAUUCCAUAUUUAAUUCAAAUAUUUAGCAUAAACAAUGCAUUACAUUCAAGAUUAAGGGCAUACAAUACAGAAAAGAUAUCUGGAUAUAUUUGAAUAAAUUAUUUUUUUUGUGACAAAAUAGAAACAAGUUGUUUAUUUAAAUCAAUCUUUUAGUCCAACAGUGUGCUUUCAUAAACAACAUAUUUGCUUUCCUUUGAAGUAUUUCAAAUACAUAUAAACAACUCAUUUAAUGACAUCUGUGUGUUUCUCGGAAGUUAAGUUAUAUUAUUAUCAUCAUUGUGAAAACAAUGCGUAACACUUCGAUAAGUUAUUAUGUGCCUAUAGUAUACUUCUAGGACUGUAUCAUAUGCCCUUAGAUACAAAUGACAAGUUAUAAACUAUGUCACUCUACAGAGUUUAACACUUAAAAAGGACAAUAAGAUGUUUAAUGACAUUAUGUAGCAGGGCUUUUAAAGGCCCCUACAUGAUACAAUGCAUUUAAUGAAAACUAAAAGAAAACAAGAAAAACAACAGCCUGAUUUAUACAAAACAAUAAAAGAAAAAAAAUAUGAUGGACAACAAUCAACGAGUAUAAUGAAAUAAGACUCUUGACUGGACACAUAUCUAGUCUAAAGUUUUUUAUGUGUUUUUUUUUUAAUAACCAAAUGAAGUUCAGCGUGGCAUAUUGCUCUCUCUUAACACGGUCAGCCAUUUAUCGUCCCCUUCCGACAGACUAUCAUUGUUAUUUGUUUCAAAACUUUAAAGGGGAGGGGAUGUAUAUCCUUCAGUCAACGUGAAUCGUUAUAUAAUAAAGGAAUGUGCAAGAAGUUUAUAUAUGAAUGUAAGAUUAAUUUUUUUUUCAGAAGCAGGGCACAGCAAGAAAAAGAUAUAAGACACUUCAAGACAUUCCAAGUGAUUUUGAAUAAGACAAUUGAUUGACUUUUUCAAUGUAUUCUUAAAUAAAUCAAAUAGUUGAUGUAAAA